UGAUAAUGUCAGUUUCAGAGAAUUUUUUUGUUUGAAACAAAGUGAUCCUUUACAAAGUUGGAUUUAUCCUUCCCUAAGACAAGAUACUUGAUCUACGUUGGCCAUUCUUUUUUAAUGAAACAAAGCAAUACCAACUCUUUCAAUUUGUCUUUUAGUUUGGAAUGUGGAAUACUUGUGUAAACAAAACCACACCUUCGUGUGUACGUUGGUACUUUAGGUAUAACAAUUUAUUAAAGGAUAAUUUCUAUACAGAUCGCCAACUUAUAAAAACCUGAAGAUGGCCCAAACCCAGAUCGGCAGACAAAGUACUGGUAAUAUGCUUUUUGUUCAAAACCAGGAACUGAAUUCUAUAAAUGCUUCUUGUUGAUAUCUGGUAAUAAUGUAUUGAAAAAUAUGUUUACCCAAUUGAACAUUUUAAAAUUGUAGACUGAAAAUAGUUUUGUUCAAUUCUUAUAGCAGUAUAACAGUAUAAUUGUUUAUUACUUGAAUUAUUAUUUAUA
rnacentral:lncRNA from 1 species